AUUAAACAAGAAGAAAAUUGAUUCUUCUGAUUGUAGUGGUAUAAGGACAAUAAGUACCUUGGAUAGCAAACUACAGUCCGAGGCAGAGGAAGAGAGAGAUGAAGAGCAAGUUCUAGGCUGUGAAUACUACAGCACUGCUCUUUUAUAGGAACUGCCAGUAAAUCAAAUUACUUAGACCCCAGUUGAGACUACAGAGGGCCUGCUCAGCGCUUGCAAAUAACACAGCCAUGACAAAGGCUCUGCAGCUUCAUUCCCACUCAAGAGCUUCAAAGAUGGAACCAGUAUUCUUAAGGGAAAGUGUGGGGAAAACAAUGUCUCAAAUAAAG
rnacentral:lncRNA from 1 species